UACCUGUAUUUGAUUUCCAGCUAUAGAUUUUGAGAGUUCACACCAACCUUUGCAAAGGUGUUGAGCUCCUCAAGUUAAUUGGUUAUAAAUUAACCUUGGGAAGUUUUGUGUGUGAAGCAGAUUUGCGUGCAUGCAGCUUUGUGGAGGUUUUUAGUGAAGCAAAAUGGAGGAAAGAAAGGUGGAAACAGAAAUGCAUGACACAAUUCAAAUUGCCUGAAAUGCCUGUAAUAAACAGUUGUUUUGUACAUCUGAAUAUCUGCAUCUCUCAGUUCUCUUUAGAAAACAUACAAGAAAAACCUCGGGAAAAUUUAUUUGGGCCACCUGCAAUAAUAAAAUUGAAGUGACCCAAGCCCAAAAAUCACAUCAUGCAUCUCCAUAUUCCUGUUGGAGUGAAUAGAGCUGGUGGGGUCUACUUGGGUUCCUCACCACACAGGCGGUGUUGGGAGGAGAUGAUGACUCAGCUCUUGAAGUUUCUACCUGCUCCAAGAUGUGCCCUGGUGUCCAGAAAGUGAGCUAUCUUCUCCAGGCUGUCCCCUCUACCCUCCUGAAUUCCAAAUUCCAAACUUCCAGCAUCCUGGGGAGCAAGACAUGGGGAUAGCCAUGAAAUGCUGAAGCUGGGGGUGUUGGUGGGGGUUGAGAUGACAUUUUGAAAAUGUAAGGAACAACUGCAUGCUGAAUCCAUCUGGUCACCCUCCUCCUUAUGGCAUGUCACCAGCCCCACCUUGGUCCCAGUGGAGACUCCAGAGACAAGGGCAGGUGAUAGUGGUAGAGGUGGGCAAGAGGAGCAACAGGAGGGCAGUCAAGUCAUUUGUUUUAUGGGGCAGCUGGAUUUAGCCAGGUAAAACCAGGGCAAUGCCAGCAGGCUCCACAUUCAGCAGAUCCCCAAAGGUGUUGGUGAAGCAGUGCCCAG